CAGGGGGUAUUUUAUUUAAAAUGUUAGUUUUGGGGACUAAUGAAAUGGUAUUUUACUUUUCCUCUGA
rnacentral:tRNA from 1 species